GACGAACGCUGGCGGCGCGCCUAACACAUGCAAGUCGAACGGAGCUGAGAGAAGCUUGCUUUUCUUAGCUUAGUGGCGAACGGGUGAGUAACGCGUGAGUAACCUGCCCUGGAGUGGGGGACAACAGUUGGAAACGACUGCUAAUACCGCAUAAGCCCACGAUCCGGCAUCGGAUUGAGGGAAAAGGAUUUAUUCGCUUCAGGAUGGACUCGCGUCCAAUUAGCUAGUUGGUGAGGUAACGGCCCACCAAGGCGACGAGUGGUAGCCGGACUGAGAGGUUGAACGGCCACAUUGGGACUGAGAGACGUCCCAGACUCCUACGGGAGGCAGCAGUGGGGGAUAUUGCACAAUGGGGGAAACCCUGAUGCAGCGACGCCGCGUGGAGGAAGAAGGUUUUCGGAUUGUAAACUCCUGUCGUUAGGGACGAUAAUGACGGUACCUAACAAGAAAGCACCGGCUAACUACGUG
rnacentral:rRNA from 1 species